rnacentral:tRNA from 1 species
AUUUAAAUAGCUUAUAGAGAGUACAAUUUUGAAGAAAUUGGGGAAGUUUUUAACUUUUAAAUA